rnacentral:rRNA from 1 species
UACAGAGGUCCCAAGCGUUGUUCGGAUUUACUGGGCGUAAAGGGUGCGUAGGCGGUUGGGUAAGUCUGACGUGAAAUCUCCGAGCCUAACUCGGAAACUGCGUUGGAUACUAUCCGGCUAGAGGAAUGGAGGGGAGACUGGAAUACUUGGUGUAGCAGUGAAAUGCGUAGAUAUCAAGUGGAACACCAGUGGCGAAGGCGAAUCUCUGGACAUUUCCUGACGCUGAGGCACGAAAGCCAGGGGAGCAAACAGG